rnacentral:tRNA from 1 species
GCCUCGGUAGUUUAAUGGCUUAAAACGCUCGUACGAAAUACAAGAGAUCCUAGUUCAAGUCCCGGCCGAGAUA